UGGACAUCGCUUUGUUUGGCUUGAGG
rnacentral:piRNA from 1 species